rnacentral:rRNA from 1 species
UGGGGAAUCUUGGACAAUGGGCGCAAGCCUGAUCCAGCCAUGCCGCGUGAGUGAAGAAGGUCUUCGGAUUGUAAAGCUCUUUUGCCAGGGACGAUAAUGACGGUACCUGGAGAAUAAGCCCCGGCUAACUCCGUGCCAGCAGCCGCGGUAAUACGGAGGGGGCUAGCGUUGUUCGGAAUUACUGGGCGUAAAGCGCACGUAGGCGGCUUUGUAAGUUAGAGGUGAAAGCCCGGAGCUCAACUCCGGAAUUGCCUUUAAGACUGCAUCGCUUGAAUCAUGGAGAGGUGAGUGGAAUUCCGAGUGUAGAGGUGAAAUUCGUAGAUAUUCGGAAGAACACCAGUGGCGAAGGCGACUCACUGGACAUGUAUUGACGCUGAGGUGCGAAAGCGUGGGGAGCAAA